GGCCAAACAAGCCCCCUUCCAGCCUCCCCUGCCUCCUGGACUGCAAACAAUGGCUGAGAACUCAAAGGCAUCCAAUGAAGCUAAAUGGGCAGAAGAUUCAGAAGAAGAUUCAGGACGGACAAAAGGAAGUACUUCUUUACACAAUGAUGUGAUGGACGAAACUCUCCGGAAUAUCUUCCGUUUCGCAAGACUUCUUCUUACAUCAAUCAACCUAUCAAUUACAUUUUACAGCCAUUAUUAUAUCAAGGAAUAAACCAAGCCUCUAAUUACAAAAUGCUACCACCAUUUCAUACAUACGAUAAGUUGUCUUCAUCAAGUCAU